CCCGCCCGGUCUCCUGGCUCUGCGCGUGCGCCCCGGAAUCGCUUCCCUUCUCAGGCCUGGGUUCGCGUCCGCAAACUCCCGCCUCCUUGCGCUCCCCGCUCCCGGGAGCUUCACGUGCGCCUUGGCGGCCGCGGGGGCAGAGUUCCAGGAAAAUGUGGCCAUCUUUAAUCACUACUCCAGCGAUGUUUCAAAUUGAGUGAGCUUCCAUCAGCCAGGGUCUCGGAGACAGGACAAAGUGGAAAAGAGCUCCCAACUAACAUACCUAGGGCAUUUUGGGGACAGACUCUACAGUUUACUAGUGGCCCCAGGACAUCCUACAAAAGAGGUCAAAUCAGUAUUGGAGAAGUGGUCUCAUGAAGUUGGGAGCACGACUACUACAAUUGACUGCUGACUUCUCACCCAAGGAAAUAACUGUAUCCCAGCCUGAUCUCAGUGGAUAAGCCCACAGGGUUAAGGAGUAAUCAUCAUGCUCCAUUUUGUUUUUGAGCCAUCUUCAGCCUUCGAGUCCUUAAGCUUUUUGAAGACAGUUUGUGGAGAAGGUCCUCACAACAUUGUGCAACAGGUGUGAAAGAUGUAGUCUCCGUUUACAGCUACUGAAAUAGGCUGAGAGAGGGAAAUGUACAUUCUUUGGAUUUGGAGAGAAUGAAUUUCUUCAGAGUCUCCUUCCUUUUGCUAACCACAUUCUAUAUUUAGACCAAAAGGAGAAAGAGUUAUUUCUGGCACUGGGCUGAAGAAAAUCCUUCUGUGUAGGCCCACAGGAGCUGAGGAGGCAGCCAAUUACCUGUAGAAAGCAUGAGAUGUUCAAGAAAAACAACAACUUCAGUGGAAGAAGAAGAUAGAAGCCCAGGUCCUGUGUUUCACCAAGACAGCCGUGCAAAGCAGAUGCUGCCAAAAAGGUUUCCUAGACUUUCCAUCACCACCAGUGAAUUCUGAGUGACAAUAGUGUGGAAUUUGGAAGAAUGGAAGAGAAACUGAAGUAGAGAGAUGGUGAAAGAGAAGAAAAAAUGAAGAAAGAUGCUUGCAAAAAUACUGCUGUGGGUCCUGAGAUGAGGAUUCUGGGAGGGCUGAAAUGGAUACCCCUGACAGCUCCCUUUGAGUUCCUGUUCAUCUGAAGUACACCACCCUUCUAGAUAUGCUGUCACUUUCCUUCUGCAGAGCCACGGUGGUGUCCUGUCUUCUCAGACCUCUUCUCACGUCAAAUCACUUAGGACACGGCCACCAGACAGGUUUGGGAUUCCAGAGCUUUUCAGAUGUUAGAAAGGGACGGUCAGCGGGGAGCAGGAUCAUCUUAGACCAUGAGGUAGGAUGAGAUGCUGAGAACUGGAAGAAUGAAGAGAGAAGUGGCCUGAUGAGGAGGUAGAGGUGUGAGAAGUGACAAAGAGUCUAUGAGGAGAAUGAGGAAGGGCAACCCAAGAAAUCAAGAAAAAUCAGGAGACAAAUCUCCUAGAAGCCAAGAAGAUGGUGAUAAACUAAUAAGUGAUGGGAGCAGUGAAGGAAAAAAAGAACUCGGAGGGCCAGGCGUGGUGGCUCACACCUGUAAUCCCAGCACUUUGGGAGGCUGAGGAGGGCGGAUCAUGAGGUCAGAAGAUCGAGACGAUCCUGGCUAACACGGUGAAACCCUGUCUCUACUAAAAAUAAAAAAAAUUAGCCGGGCGUGGUGGCAUGCGCCUGUAGUCCCAGCUACUCGGGAGGCUGAGGCAGAAGAAUGGUGUGAACCUGGGAGGCGGAGCAUGCAGUGAGCUGAGAUCGUGCCACUGCACUCCAGCGUGGGUGACAGAGCAAGACUCCGUCUCAAAAAAAAAAAAAAAAAAAAAAGAACUUGGAGUGUGUUUAUAUUGCUGGCAAAAAGAGUUUGCUGUCGAUUGCCUUGUUAGCACACCUGUGAUCUGACUGAGUUACAUCAGUGGGAGGCACAGGAUGAAAGGGUGCCGGCCUCUGAGACCAACUUCAGUUCUUUGAGUGUUUGAGAAACACUUCAAGUCUUAGCCAAUGGCUUUGGUCAACAAUGGGUGCCUCAUGUUGAGGAUGAUGCCCUGAGGGCUUUCGCCACAGAGACAAGCCGACUUGUUCAAAUCCAUUCUCAAAUGGUAAAACACAGGCAAAGGUACAACAUGCAGAACUACUGCACCAUGAUCAAAACAUGUACUCUGUCACAUCUAAUGACUUCAGGCCCCUCUUGAACUUUUGAGUUAGCAAAAAAGGGCAAAUAAAGAUGAAACUUGCCUUUCAGUUCUCCUUAUGUGUUUUUUAAUUCUUUCCUCCUUGGUUCCUCUGCAACAGCCCUGCAGUCUCUGUCUGCAUGUUCAGUGGCAUGUGGGGUGACCCAUACUUGUCUCAGCAUCUUCAGGGGGGUUGAGAACAGCUGCCCCCAGCUUUCUGUACUUGUCAGGCAUAUGGUGGGGGAGACAUAGCCCUGGCACUCCAACCUCUUCCCUGAUUUAAAGUGUCAAAGCAUUGUGGAAUUCAGGUCUUGGUGUUAAAAAUUCUCCAUGAACUCUGAUAGGCUUCAGUGGUAGUCACUACCUUAGGAUACUGACGAGGAACAACUGCUAGCCUGCCCAUGGUGACGACCUUUGAAGAGCCCAUGAACAGAACUAUUUUGAAUCAUGAGUAAGAAGAUUAGGGAAAGGCUGGGAGCAGUGGCUCAUGCCUGUAAUCCCAGCACUUUGGGAGGCUGAGGCAGGCGGAUCAUGAGGUCAGGAGAUCAAGACCAUCCUGGCUAACACGGUGAAACCCCGUCUCUACUAAAAAUACAAAAAAUUAGCCGGGCGUGGUGGCGGGUGCCUAUAGUCCCAGCUACUUGGGAGGCUGAGGCAGGAGAAUGGCGUGAACCCUGGAGGUGGAGCUUGCAGUGAGCCGAGAUUGUGCCACUGCACUCCAGCCUGGGCGACAGAGUGAGACUCUGUCUCAAAAAAAAAAAAAAAAAAAAGAAGAUUAGGGAAAAACUAAUCUCUGCUAUUUGCUUAUUCUCUGUCAGAGACACAAGAAUUUGUAUGCAUCUUUUCACCCUCUCC